CCCUAGCCCAGAUGGAAAUGGAAAGCCCACAGCUGAAACAACUAAUUUUUCUUGCCCUAAAAGAGCGACCAAAGGAAGCUCCUUUUAGGGUUAGAAAAAUAGUUGGGGCAGCGAGGACUUGUAAUGUACAGCUGGAAUAGCU
rnacentral:snRNA from 1 species